rnacentral:misc_RNA from 1 species
GGAAGGGUUUUCAUUGAUUGUGUGAGAGGGAUUGAUUCACAAUACAGCAAGAGGACCAGUACUGAACUGAAACAUUGUGGGGAUAGAAAAGGCUUGAGGAUGAGUGUUCAUUUUAAAUCAAGAAACCAUGAAGCAGUUACAGGGAUAAUUGAUUAGAUUGAAUAAAAUCCAUCAUAAUUAUGACAGUUCAUAUACAUUUGAUACCCUUUAUUGUUAAUGUUGUAAAUAAAAAAUUGAGUUGGUAGAGAAUUCCAUUUUUACAUAUUUCAUUUAAUGAUUUAACCACUUAAUAUUUGUUUGAAAUAAACUUAUUCAAUACACAU